UUUACCUAUGGGGCGCAGCAGUGGGGAAUAUUGCACAAUGGGGGGAACCCUGAUGCAGCGACGCCGCGUGGGUGAAGGAGUACUUCGGUACGUAAAGCCCUAUCAGCAGGAAAGAAAAUGACGGUACCUGACUAAGAAGCCCCGGCUAACUACGUGCCAGCAGCCGCGGUAAUACGUAGGGGGCAAGCGUUAUCCGGAUUCACUGGGUGUAAAGGGAGCGUAGACGGCCAUGCAAGCCAGGGGUGAAAGCCCGGGGCCCAACCCCGGGACUGCCCUUGGAACUGCAUGGCUGGAGUGCGGGAGGG
rnacentral:rRNA from 1 species